AAAUUCUACUCUGCAUUAGUGUUUUAAAUGGCUUUUUCUAUACAAGGAAAGAAGUCUCUAUUCUUACAGAAAUAAUAUAAAAACUGAUCUUCUUGUAAAAGAAAAUACAAAAAAACCCAACCAAGGUAUGUAAUAAAAGAUUUCCUCUUCUUUUAUACAAUAUGGACUUAAAUAGAAACUUCCAAGUAAUACUAUACUUGAGUAUAAAAUUCAAAGCAUUACAACAUACUGAGACUGUUA
rnacentral:misc_RNA from 1 species